rnacentral:piRNA from 1 species
UGCUGUAAAAUUGACGUCAAGAAGCAGA